GUUGUGCUGUCGCGUGCACGAAGAACGAAACCACGUCAUUUUCCACUGUGUUCCGGCGCUGCAAUCAUGCUCUUUCAUCCUCUCACGCCUGCCUCAUUGCUCGCGAUUGUGGCACUCAUGAGCUGUUCUCGUGCAGAGGGCGCGA
rnacentral:lncRNA from 1 species